rnacentral:rRNA from 1 species
UACAGAGGGUGCAAGCGUUAAUCGGAAUUACUGGGCGUAAAGCGCGCGUAGGCGGCUUGACAAGUCGAGUGUGAAAUCCCCGGGCUUAACCUGGGAGCUGCAUUCGAAACUGUCUUGCUAGAGUAUGGGAGAGGGAGGUGGAAUUUCAGGUGUAGCGGUGAAAUGCGUAGAUAUCUGAAGGAACAUCAGUGGCGAAGGCGACCUCCUGGACCAAUACUGACGCUCAGGUGCGAAAGCGUGGGGAGCAAACCGG